rnacentral:rRNA from 1 species
UACGUAGGUGGCAAGCGUUAUCCGGAAUUACUGGGCGUAAAGCGCACGCAGGCGGCUCUUUAAGUUUGACGUGAAAGCUCCUGGCUUAACUGGGAGAGGUCGUUGAAGACUGGAGAGCUUGAGGCAAUGAGAGGGGUGUAGAAUUCCCGGUGUAGUGGUGGAAUGCGUAGAUAUCGGGAGGAAUACCAGUGGCGAAAGCGGCACCCUGGCAUUGGCCUGACGCUCAUGUGUGAAAGCGUGGGGAGCGAAC